GACAGAGGGUGCAAGCGUUACCCGGAAUUAUUGGGCGUAAAGCGUCCGCAGGUGGCUUAUUAAGUCGGGUGUUAAAUCUUGAAGCUCAACUUCAAGACUAUGCUCGAAACUAAUAUGCUAGAGGCUUUUAGAGGUACGUGGAAUUCUGUGUGUAGGGGUAAAAUCCGUAGAUACACAGAGGAACACCAAAAGCGAAGGCAGCGUACUGGAAAAGUCCUGACACUCAUGGACGAAAGCGUGGGGAGCGAACGGG
rnacentral:rRNA from 1 species